rnacentral:rRNA from 1 species
GUUUUUUACCCUUAUAGAUUUGGGAUCGACGCGGUGGAGGUAGAGGAGGAGGUGGUGGUUACCGCGGCGGCAGCAGCAACUCCUUUGAGGUUCUCGACUACUUCCCGUUUAACUCGGGGCCCCUUUUAAGUUAAUCCCUAUUCCUACUUCUCUUAGGCCUCCAACGCGAACAAAGUUUCUUCCACUUGUUCUUCACCUUCUUCGACGGCCCAUGGUUCUUCCCCCUUCCCGCGCUGCACCUAUCCGACCAGGCCCUCCUCCUAGGGCUCCAACACGAACAAAGUUUCUUCGACUUGUUCUUCGCCUUCUUCGACGGCCCAUGGUUUUCCCCCUUUCCACGCUGCACCUAUCCGACCAGGCCCUUCUCCUAGGCCUCCAACACGAACAAAGUUUCUUCGACUUCUGUGUAGGCCACUCACUUGGCUUACGUAGUAGCUCCCUUAGCUAGACCCUUAGGUCACUCGGCGAGUGCCCAUUCUUCUCUUUUCUCCCCUUUCCGGUGUAGCACGACCAGCCCGUCCUACCAGGCCUCCAACGAGGACACCGUUUCUUCACCUUCGGUCUAGGCCACCGUUUCUUCACCUUCGGUCUCGGCCACGGUCUCCUGUAAGCCAACUCACGUAGUAACUGACAAUAACAACGAAUACGAGGUCUGUACGGUGUGUCCAUACCUGUAAACGAUUCCAGCUAAUGGAAAGAAGACGGAAUGUUCUCACUUCCCUUCCGUAUACUUACACUAGGGUUGUGUCACUUUCUAGACUAUUCAGCUUGGUCUACACCAAAUACAGAAAAGAAACUCACCCAAGUUUCUCUAUUCCUCUACAAAACAACCUAUUAAUUAUAUAGCUUUUUAUUAAGAUGAGUCAAUGAACAUUUAGGUCGUAAACAUAGUCUUUACAGUCUUCACUUUCAAUUCGCACGUCGAACACGAAAGAGUAAUUUGAAGACAUCACUAUUUUUUACCCGACCACAUUUCUUACGAAACCUCUACCACAAAAGAAGUGGAGUUGUGUUCUGUAGACUUCGAGGACUAUUAUACAUACAGAAGUGUUCCUAUCUACUAACACAGAUGAAGUCUUUAUAUUUCUAAUUACUAAAGGGGUUAUAACGGCUUCCGCUCGGUAACCUAGACUUUCUCCAACCUGGAAUAAAAACGGACUUCGAACACCUAUAAGUACCUCUCUGACGACAGUGUAUAGAUGGAAGUCUACAACAAGGUGUUUUAUUCUACUUGUUGUACGUAUGGGCAGGUCCUAUUGCCGCGUUACCUCUGUGUCCACGUCUGCACGUCAUCCCUGGGCAACACUCCUAAGAAAAGUCUAAUUCUGGGACGCAUCUGGAAAAAAUGACAGAGAACAACAAUAAUAGGGAACCAAAGAAGGAUAUCGGUUUCGCCUCGGACUGCAAAACCGUAACCGGCGCAGUCUUCUGGUACGGACAUGGAUCUGUGGUCCCCGAAUCCCGUAACAAGACGGGUAAUAAUAUUUCUGGCUUGUGGAGUCCCUCACAAGCCGCAGAGCUCAAUCCGUAAUAUACGUAGUCGAGGCUUAGUACAGAAACCAGUUUACAACCCAAACGGGCCGAGGACACAAAACGACGGAAUGCAAGGCAUAGUAGCCGAUUGUACCGUGGUCCUCUUGAUGACGCUAACACGGGGUCAAGCCGACCCGCUCGUGGAGUCAUCUCUUUCGGCUUUUGACUGACAGUACUAUAUCGCUCUCUGACCCGUUGGUGAGCUAGCUGGUGGCCUUACAAAUCUUAAGGGGCGAAACUGCUUCCUGGCAAAGGGCCAGUCCGUGUGUGCGCGGGGCUUGAGCCUCUUCACGCCACGGGGUUCCCCGAUAUAGCAUCGGGGUGGGAGCUCGAGGUGACCGAUUCACUUUCACUAUUUCGUAAUAUCAGGCCUAACGGAGCAAACGAUGCGAUGGUGGAGGAAUUGUUCUGGCUCUGCAGCCUAAUUCACACUUUUGCGCGAUAAAAACGCUUGUGGGGGCGUGGAACACGCACCCCCGACUUCGGCUUCUGACGUUAGAAAGUCCAAUAUGUUCACAUAUGCAUUUGCCGGCGUAUCCUCUUCAAAAUGAUGAACCCUGCGUGUUCAUAUUUUUCGUCAAUAUCGUAUUAGUAGCAAAAUGUUCGAUUUUGCAAGUAAACUUGCACUGUAAAAAACUCGUGACGCUGAGAUAAUGUACUCGCGGUGCGUAUUGAAGGGGCUUUAUCACGAGCCGCCCCUCGGCCAGAAGUAGGCUCGGGCCCCGCCGUUGUCGCCACCGUAGGUAGAGGCAGGUUACGCGGAAGUGCGCCCGUUCUCGGUAGGCGCGCGGGAGCUACGUCCGGCUGGCGAAGUAGAGGAACUAUACGCCGUGGCGGGGUUCCUUAACGACGUCAUUCGGCUUCAUCGAGCAGCGGAACCCGGAGAGACCGGUCUGUACUCGAUGCUACAGUCAGUACCGUUCAGGCUUGUUGGAUAAAUCGAGCCGGGUAAGCCGGUUGGCCAGCCAGUUGCCUUCACUCGCUAGGCCUGAUACCUUAACUCUGGUUUUAUCGAGAAGGCAGAACACUAGGAAGACCGAGGCCUUCACGAGUUGCCGUAGUCGGCGUGAAUGGCGAUUCAGGUAUAUGCCUAGGAGACCUGAGGUAUCGGCUAGUUUAACUCGUAUGAAAACUAGGUAUUUGGCCGCUGCGUCGUCUAUUCCGAACGGUCGGUGUUAUAGAGGCCGGACCGCGUCGAGGAGGGAGUACCGGAUGUAACGUCUCGCCCGUAGGAACCGGAGCCGCCACCGGAAGAAGUCCAGAAGGGCGAGACUAUCCGCGAGGAAAAGUUCUCGGAGUAACGCCAGCCGUCGUAGAAAGUGAAAAUGCCGGUUAAGCCGGUGGAGAAGGGACGAAUCCGUCUCUCGUCGGAAAAACCGAAAGUUGAGGAGCCGGCGGGAGCUCCGUCGGCACAGUGAGGAAGCCCGAACGAGGAAUCGAACUCGUUCAAGCCGGGCUUCCGAGAGGUGUCGUCGUCGUGGCAGACAUGUUGUCGUAUAUUAAAUAGUUCUCCUCCCGAAACUGGGGGAAUUAUUUCGCUGACGCCUGUUGAGUAAAUGGAACGCUGAGCAGUUCAGCGGCCAACUGUUCGCACUACAGGCGUAGGCGGUGCAGUUCAACGGCGUAAUUGAGCCGUUGAGGUGAUCAGGCCGAUGGGGAACCUGAUAGGCGGUGGACGUAUCCUUACCGCUGUAAUUAAUGAACGCUAGAACUAGGAGCCGUGCGACAGCAGAAGCUGUUGGAUGGCUCAGAGCCCCCGAUGAUAGAUAUGUCCCGCGUAAAAAUACACGUUUUGACAAUUAUCUGUUUCCCUACGCAGUAAAAGCACAUGGAGUUUGGGGCGGUCGUUUGAGUACCGCCGUAACGCGUUAGGCGAGAGCCGCCUGCUUUAGGAAGGUUAGUGGUAUGCGUAGUUGCGUGCCACUAGAAGACUUUACCUGCGGGAGAGUUCGUCUAAGAAGUCAAGAGGGCCGGCCUAUGAUCACACACGGCUUGAGAGACCGGGGAGGCCUGAGCCCCUAUGGGAGGCACUGCUAUGAAGUCCGAGCAGGCGAAAUAGACUGCCGCACUUUCUGCCUCCGCAAAGCGAGAGGUAGUAGAGGCCUUCUUCCAGGGGGCUUCUACUUGAGUAGACUCUUCCGACGUCUAGGCUGGACGUUCUAUUUGUAAAGCCAGUGGGUGUCUUCGUGUUUACCUCCAUAAAGGAAUGAUUAAUUGAGGGGGAAAAGUAUGAGUGCCGAGCGACCUCCCGACUAGGAAACCGCUACUAACACACAGGCCUGAGAGGGGCCUGCGGCCUGGGGGGCCGCUUCUAGAGAAAGGGGCGAAUCCCCGAAACCGGAGGCCUAGAAGCCUCCGCCAGGAGAAUAGGGGAACCUCCCUCCCCAAAAAUUAAGGGGGGAGAAGUCUGCGGGGAAACCCGCUUUAUAAUCGAGGAGAUAAAAGGGGUAGCGAGGGAAGACACCCGCGCUGGAGGUCGUAAGACUGGUCGUGCCCGAGGUCACGCCAGAAACCCUCCCCCCGGCCUGUGGAAUAGUCGGAACUAGCGCGGUGGGUGAGGACACUUCUCAUUACCCAGUCCUCCGCUUGAGAUCUUUCCGUCUAUUUGCCUUACAGGCCUGAGACUCGAUAAAUGGACUCAUAGGCCCGCUAACGCCGAAUCCGGACGCAGGAGCCGAUUAAGGCCUGUGCGGUGGACGCCAGGCUUCUUGUUGAACAUGUAGAGGUGCCCACAACGUGGGUACUUCACAACCUCUUAGGCUCCAGGGAGGCCCAACUUGAGGGUAUCUGCCUCUCCUGCCGCAAACGUCCCGUCUUCUACGGACUAAUCGUAUUGGACGUAGUGGUGCUGGUCUAACUAGAGGGAGCGAACCUCCAGAGCUUAGGCAGGGACGUCACUCCCGUGCAGAAGCCUGCCGGGGGUUAACUCGGGAACCAACUGGGUGCUGUAGUCAACCGCACCUCCAGGGCCCGCCUUACUUCCGCCGCCGAAAACGAACGACGGGAAGUCUCGCCACUAUAUCUUGGUGAGGACGACGGUGUCAGGCUCAAGGAGAACCUUCCUUGGGAGCCCGGUGCCCCGUAGCGGGAAAAACGAAUACCGGCGGGGCGGCGUGAGGCGAACUGCGGGGGGCUAGUAGAAGCCGAAGUGUAACUUCCAGAAGUCGGUGUCCGGCUUCACCCCUCACUGCGCCUCCUUCCGAAGCGUCUACUAUUACUUACGCCUCUAUACCUCCUACCUGAGGCCUCGGUUUAGUACUUUUAGGUCGGGCAUCAUCUUGUACUCGGGAGAGUGCUUCCCCAGGCAGCCCUUCGGAUUUGGGGCUACCUCCACCCUAUGCUUCUACUGUAUAAGCAGCCCGAGCCCCCACCCGUGCCGGACGGGAACCCGCCCGUUGGACACGCUUUGGAGCAUCCGGUCCAUGAACCGGAGUGCAUUGAAGUUAUACAGGAGGAGGCACUGCCUCCUCCCGUAGGUGGCCGGGACCUCCAGCCUCGGCCUGUACCAACUCCUAGGCUUCGCGAGCUUAGACUCCGAGACCCACAACCUUGACCCUCGCUCCUCCUCUAAGCUACGCUCUAACUUCUUGUUCUUGCUCGGAACCAGGAGAAUAUUUCCCCUUUUUAUGGUUCUCGGCAGAGGCACUGGUAAACCCUAAGUGGAAGCUAUCUCCUCCACACCGCUGCCCUUGCCAACCCAAUGGGUGCGUGCAUAAUUACUCUUAGGGCCUUAUUCCCCUUGUGCUAGAGACGAAGCUGUUCUGCACGGUUCCUUUGGCGAAGCGAUUUGCACAACUCCACUAUAUCAUUUUUUGCUAAGUUCGUCACCGAACCAUCGCCACACUACAGUGCGGCGUAUUAUGCAGUCGUCUAACUUGAUCACAUGUAAAAUAAGAGAGACGCCACCUUACACCUUAAAUAAAACGUCUCGGCCUGUGAUAGGACCACAAGUACUAGAAGAGACCUAAUAAGUUCCCUCCUUGGGCGGAACGUUACGGCUUGUAAUACGCGCGGCCUGAAUAGCAGUAACUUCGGAUCAAGUCCCCGAUGACUCCCUCAGGACCUGAUCCCCCACAGGCCUGUCGGCCUGAGGUUCUGAUGCUUCUAUGUUCUAACUUCUGAGGCAGGGCACAGGCCUACCCUGAAAGGAACCGCACCUUCCGUUCGAACCGCUAUGCCUAUACAUCUAGAGGAUGGUAACAUUGGCUGAGACACAUUGGGAUCGGAGGAGGCCACAGAUAUGUUUGGCCUCCCGAAAUCAGGCAUCCUGUGUUGUAUGUAAUGUUGUUAGUAUGGUAUCCGAUCGAAGAACCCAAAUCGGAGGAACUAGAGCACCAUCUAGGUGAGAACAUGAUGGGUAUAGUAGUUAUAAUUAGUUCGUCCUGCAUCCCAAAAUAGAGGUAGCUCUCCCGGGCUUGGACCCAUUUUGUAGCACAGGGAGCAGAGGACAAUGGUAGGCGGAUCUGCGUGUCAAGCCCUGGGGGAUGGGCUCUAGGCGGCCAAAACUGUGGCUGUCACGAGCAUGUAUCUUUGUACCCAUCUGUGAUACUGUUUUUUGUGAAUGGAUUGACUCCAGCGGUCAAUAUUGAGCCAUGACCCCCAAAACUUUGACCUCUUCUCUUUCCUCCUCUUGUUUCUCUUCAACCUCUUACUUCUCCUACUGUUAUUUUUCGAUUAUGUUUUUCCUCUCGCUGUCAAAGUACAAGAUUCUUUAACACUACAUGUAUAAGGACUCUUCCGACGUUUCCUACCUUAUACAGGUAAAGCAGACUGCACCACACUGAUGUAGGCAUGCACGAUGAAAGCUUUCAUAGAGAGGAAACACGUUUCGGCGUACCUUAGAAUAGAUUUCGGUUGUUCCACUUGAGUGGCCAAACACGCACGGCCGUACGGCGUGAAGUGACUAUCCAAGGAUUUCGAUUGGUUACUUUUACAAGUUUCUUGAACUACCACCUUCAAGGUCAUCUCACUAAUAAGGUCAUUGUUGUGUAAAAUCGUACCUAGUCAG